rnacentral:rRNA from 1 species
UAGAGUUUGAUCCUGGCUCAGGACGACCUUUUACGGCGUGCUUAACACAUGCAAGUCGAACGGAAAGGCCCUUCUGGGUACUCGAGUGGCGAACGGGUGAGUAACACGUGGGUGAUCUGCCCUGCACUUUGGGAUAAGCCUGGGAAACUGGGUCUAAUACCGGAUAGGACUACGGCCUGCAUGGGUUGUGGUGGAAAGCUUUUGCGGUGUGGGAUGGGCCCGCGGCCUAUCAGCUUGUUGGUGGGGUGAUGGCCUACCAAGGCGACGACGGGUAGCCGGCCUGAGAGGGUGACCGGCCACACUGGGACUGAGAUACGGCCCAGACUCCUACGGGAGGCAGCAGUGGGGAAUAUUGCACAAUGGGCGCAAGCCUGAUGCAGCGACGCCGCGUGGGGGAUGACGGCCUUCGGGUUGUAAACCUCUUUCAGUAGGGACGAAACGUAAGUGAC